AAAUUGAAGAGUUUGAUCAUGGCUCAGAUUGAACGCUGGCGGCAGGCCUAACACAUGCAAGUCGAACGGUAACAGGAAGAAGCUUGCUUCUUUGCUGACGAGUGGCGGACGGGUGAGUAAUGUCUGGGAAACUGCCUGAUGGAGGGGGAUAACUACUGGAAACGGUAGCUAAUACCGCAUAACGUCGCAAGACCAAAGAGGGGGACCUUCGGGCCUCUUGCCAUCGGAUGUGCCCAGAUGGGAUUAGCUAGUAGGUGGGGUAAAGGCUCACCUAGGCGACGAUCCCUAGCUGGUCUGAGAGGAUGACCAGCCACACUGGAACUGAGACACGGUCCAGACUCCUACGGGAGGCAGCAGUGGGGAAUAUUGCACAAUGGGCGCAAGCCUGAUGCAGCCAUGCCGCGUGUAUGAAGAAGGCCUUCGGGUUGUAAAGUACUUUCAGCGGGGAGGAAGGGAGUAAAGUUAAUACCUUUGCUCAUUGACGUUACCCGCAGAAGAAGCACCGGCUAACUCCGUGCCAGCAGCCGCGGUAAUACGGAGGGUGCAAGCGUUAAUCGGAAUUACUGGGCGUAAAGCGCACGCAGGCGGUUUGUUAAGUCAGAUGUGAAAUCCCCGGGCUCAACCUGGGAACUGCAUCUGAUACUGGCAAGCUUGAGUCUCGUAGAGGGGGGGUAGAAUUCCAGGUGUAGCGGUGAAAUGCGUAGAGAUCUGGAGGAAUACCGGUGGCGAAGGCGGCCCCCUGGACGAAGACUGACGCUCAGGUGCGAAAGCGUGGGGAGCAAACAGGAUUAGAUACCCUGGUAGUCCACGCCGUAAACGAUGUCGACUUGGAGGUUGUGCCCUUGAGGCGUGGCUUCCGGAGCUAACGCGUUAAGUCGACCGCCUGGGGAGUACGGCCGCAAGGUUAAAACUCAAAUGAAUUGACGGGGGCCCGCACAAGCGGUGGAGCAUGUGGUUUAAUUCGAUGCAACGCGAAGAACCUUACCUUGGUCUUGACAUCCACGGAAGUUUUCAGAGAUGAGAAUGUGCCUUCGGGAACCGUGAGACAGGUGCUGCAUGGCUGUCGUCAGCUCGUGUUGUGAAAUGUUGGGUUAAGUCCCGCAACGAGCGCAACCCUUAUCCUUUGUUGCCAGCGGUCCGGCCGGGAACUCAAAGGAGACUGCCAGUGAUAAACUGGAGGAAGGUGGGGAUGACGUCAAGUCAUCAUGGCCCUUACGACCAGGGCUACACACGUGCUACAAUGGCGCAUACAAAGAGAAGCGACCUCGCGAGAGCAAGCGGACCUCAUAAAGUGCGUCGUAGUCCGGAUUGGAGUCUGCAACUCGACUCCAUGAAGUCGGAAUCGCUAGUAAUCGUGGAUCAGAAUGCCACGGUGAAUACGUUCCCGGGCCUUGUACACACCGCCCGUCACACCAUGGGAGUGGGUUGCAAAAGAAGUAGGUAGCUUAACCUUCGGGAGGGCGCUUACCACUUUGUGAUUCAUGACUGGGGUGAAGUCGUAACAAGGUAACCGUAGGGGAACCUGCGGUUGGAUCACCUCCUUACCUUAAAGAAGC
rnacentral:rRNA from 1 species